UCCAGUUAAAAAGGAGCAAAGAACGAAAAAUUCAACUAACACAUUGAAAGACAACUUGCGCACCAAGAAAAGCCUAACUUACUAGACUCUAUACCCCUCUAUCCAUUUCCACCAUUUUUCUUCGGCCAAAGCACCCAAACCUUGGCGCCAUUCAAAUGCUAUAUAUUCUUCUCUUUUCUUCUUAACCAAUCCUUCCUAAAAAAACCCAACCUAUAUCAAUUACACAUGACUGAUCAGAGGAGAAGUAACCAAAAACAGGGGAGACUCUGUGAUUAUUGCAACCAAUCCAAAGCUCUUUUAUAUUGCAGAGCUGACUCCGCCAAGCUAUGUUUUUCUUGUGACAGGGAAGUUCACUCGGCUAACCAACUAUUCUCUAAGCACUCUCGGUCACAGCUCUGUGACGCUUGUGAUGGUUCCCCUGCUUCCAUCUUUUGCGAAACAGAGCAAUCGGUGUUUUGCUCCAACUGUGAUUGGGAAAGCCACAAGUUUUCGUCGUCUUCGUUGCAUAAUAGGAGGCCAAUAGAAGGGUUUACUGGGUGUCCUUCGGUGAAUGAGUUGGUGAGUAUUGUUGGGAUUGAGGAUUUGGGUGAAAAGAAAGGUGGUGAUGAUUGUGGAUAUGAUGAUGGGUGGUUGGAUUUGUUGAGCUGGGAAAAUCCGGUGAUUUCUAGCUUUGAUGAUUUGCUUGUUUCGAGUGAUUCUGAUCAUGGGUUUAAGCCAACUGAUGUUCUUCCUUUGCCCAAGAAUCGUAAUGCUAAUUGUGGACAACAUAAAGAGGAAGUACUUCAUCAACUACGUGAACUAGCAAAAUCUGAACCUAUCCUCAGCUUUGAUAAUACUGGUGAUUUGCAGACAGGAACUGUGCAUACAAGUUGCACAAAUGAUACAGCUCCAAUUCCAUUUCCUGCUUAUGAGUCAAGCGCACUACGGUUCUUCGGCGACAACGUUGAGAUGACCGACCAAGUUUUUGUGCCUUUCUCGGAAUUAAGAGGUCAUCCUGAGGAAUGUGCUGUGGUUCCUGAUAAACAUCUAGGUUCAAGUAGGACUAUACCUGUGAGUGAUAGUCUUGGGAACCAACAACAUCAAAUUGAUACUGGAACCGUGUCAGCACUUCCAAAGGUCGCUGUCCACGAGUUAAAUAGCCAGGAGAGAGACUCUGCGAUCUCGCGCUACAAGGAGAAAAGGAAAACAAGGAGAUUCGAUAAGCACAUCAGGUACGAAUCAAGAAAGGUUAGAGCCGAAAGCAGGACGAGAAUUAAAGGACGUUUUGCGAAGGUGGAGCAUUGAGAUUACUGGUAAACUACUUUUGAGACUGGAAUUGCUAUGAACAUGGAUCAUUUUUGUAACUAGAUAAUGUUUUCCUUUGUUCAUUCUUUGUUCCUUUGAAGCUAAAAUCUUAGUAAGAUGCAAGGUUUCUUGUAAAAUAUUGAAUUGUAAUACCUAUAAUUACAUCAUGUAGGCUAUUUUUUAACCUUUAAGCUGAUGGUUUGUGCAUUGAAAUGCUGAUUAUUGGCUACAGCAGUGAAAGCCCUUAUUUGGAAUCUUGGACUUUUUGCAAUCAUGUCAUGCAAAAUAAAACGAUGGUUGAAUAUGGCGUGUGCUAUGAGCCAAAUGCAAAACCAAAGACGCCAACAACCAUAUAAAACAAAAUCCGGUCUUUCUUCGAUUGGACAUGCGAGUUACCUUCUUGGCCUAAGAAACUGACAGCCAUUGCUGCCCUGUGGUGACGUCUAGGAUGACGAGAAAUAUUGCGGUCUUGUUUCUGGAAGUUUUGACCCACAGUGGUACUACUAGUAAUGCUGCUGUCAGUGCUGUGUAUUAAAAUGCCAUGGAAGCACCUUUAUUUCGAGUAUUCCAUUUUACUCUCUAUUAAAAAUAGACAAUUUAAUAAAUUAGUUUUGUAUGCCAACAUUAGAUAUAUGUGUCAUGUCAUAUAUCAUUAUUUAAUUAUUUUGUGAAUUAUAUAAUUUUUAAUAA